UACCUGGUUGAUUCUGCCAGUAUUCAUAUGCUUGUCUCAAAGAUUAAGCCAUGCAUGUCUAAGUAUAAGCAAUAUAUACCGUGAAACUGCGAAUGGCUCAUUAUAUCAGUUAUAGUUUAUUUGAUAGUACCUUACUACUUGGAUAACCGUGGUAAUUCUAGAGCUAAUACAUGCUAAAAACCUCGACUUCGGAAGGGGUGUAUUUAUUAGAUAAAAAACCAAUGCCCUUCGGGGCUCCUUGGUGAUUCAUGAUAACUUAACGAAUCGCAUGGCCUUGUGCCGGCGAUGGUUCAUUCAAAUUUCUGCCCUAUCAACUUUCGAUGGCAGGAUAGUGGCCUACCAUGGUUUCAACGGGUAACGGGGAAUUAGGGUUCUAUUCCGGAGAGGGAGCCUGAGAAACGGCUACCACAUCCAAGGAAGGCAGCAGGCGCGCAAAUUACCCAAUCCCGACACGGGGAGGUAGUGACAAUAAAUACUGAUACAGGGCUCUUUUGGGUCUUGUAAUUGGAAUGAGUACAAUUUAAAUCCCUUAACGAGGAACAAUUGGAGGGCAAGUCUGGUGCCAGCAGCCGCGGUAAUUCCAGCUCCAAUAGCGUAUAUUAAAGUUGUUGCAGUUAAAAAGCUCGUAGUUGAACCUUGGGCCUGGCUGGCCGGUCCGCCUCACCGCGUGCACUGGUUUGGCCGGGCCUUUCCUCCCGGGGAGCCGCAUGCCCUUCACUGGGUGUGUCGGGGAACCGGGACUUUUACUUUGAAAAAAUUAGAGUGUUCAAAGCAGGCCUAUGCUCGAAUACAUUAGCAUGGAAUAAUGAAAUAGGACGUGUGGUUCUAUUUUGUUGGUUUCUAGGACCGCCGUAAUGAUUAAUAGGGAUAGUCGGGGGCAUCAGUAUUCCAACGUCAGAGGUGAAAUUCUUGGAUGUUGGAAGACUAACUACUGCGAAAGCAUUUGCCAAGGAUGUUUUCAUUAAUCAGUUGAACGAAAGUUAGGGGAUCGAAGACGAUCAGAUACCGUCGUAGUCUUAACCAUAAACUAUGCCGACUAGGGAUCGGGCGAUGUUAUCUUUUUGACUCGCUCGGCACCUUACGAGAAAUCAAAGUUUUUGGGUUCUGGGGGGAGUAUGGUCGCAAGGCUGAAACUUAAAGAAAUUGACGGAAGGGCACCACCAGGAGUGGAGCCUGCGGCUUAAUUUGACUCAACACGGGGAAACUCACCAGGUCCAGACACAAUAAGGAUUGACAGAUUGAGAGCUCUUUCUUGAUUUUGUGGGUGGUGGUGCAUGGCCGUUCUUAGUUGGUGGAGUGAUUUGUCUGCUUAAUUGCGAUAACGAACGAGACCUUAACCUGCUAAAUAGCCAGGCUAGCUUUGGCUGGUCGCCGGCUUCUUAGAGGGACUAUCGGCUCAAGCCGAUGGAAGUUUGAGGCAAUAACAGGUCUGUGAUGCCCUAAGAUGUUCUGGGCCGCACGCGCGCUACACUGACAGAGCCAACGAGUUCUCACCUUGGCCGAAGGGUCUGGGUAAUCUUGUUAAACUCUGUCGUGCUGGGGAUAGAGCAUUGCAAUUAUUGCUCUUCAACGAGGAAUUCCUAGUAAGCGCAAGUCAUCAGCUUGCGCUGAUUACGUCCCUGCCCUUUGUACACACCGCCCGUCGCUACUACCGAUUGAAUGGCUCAGUGAGGCUUUCGGACUGGCCCAGGGAGGUUGGCAACGACCACCCAGGGCCGGAAAGUUGUUCAAACUGGGUCAUUAGAGGAAGUAAAAGUCGUAACAAAGGGCGAUUCGGGCCGCAAAUCAAUCGCCCAAGUACCCC
rnacentral:rRNA from 1 species